rnacentral:lncRNA from 1 species
CGAAAGCAAGCGCUGCAAAGACGAAGGGGAGCGCCCAAGGAUGAGGAACGUUCCAAGACACUGAGUGAUUUGCUGAAAAUCACACAUCUAGAUGCAAAGCCAGAAUGCGAGCAGUGACCACCACACUUGACAAAUCCGUUGUUGCACACAUUUGUACUCUUCAAUCAACAAAACCUGAUGCAAAAAACAGAAAAGGGGGAGAUGUACAUGCAUUUUCCCUCACUGCAAAAAAAACACAACUUGUUUAACUACAGCUGUAGAAAACAGAAGCCAAUCGAAAGAGCUCCCAGUCCAAAGCUGGAACAACUUGAACAACAAAAUAAAUAAUGUAGCAUUGGAUUACAAACCAACCAUAAAACAAAUAUCCAUGAGUCUAUACUGAUGUCAAUAAAUGAAUAAAUGUGGGAAAAUAGACAAAUCUCCUUUCUCAUACAGAAGGAUUCCAAAUAAUUUGUGUAGAUAUUUCACUUUUAACUUGUUCUGUGGCUACGCAUUAAGUCAGGAUUUCCUUUCUUGCAUAAGGAGGACAAGG